GAAAUGCGAUACGUAAUGUGAAUUGCAGAAUUCAGUGAAUCAUCGAAUCUUUGAACGCACCUUGCACCCUUUGGUAUUCCGAAGGGUAUGCCUGUUUGAGUGUCAUGAAUACCUCAACCCCUAAUAGUUUUAUUACGAAAGGCGUGUUGGUCUUGCCCAUUUAUCUCAAGGUUGACCUCGGAUCAGGUAGGAAUACCCGCUGAACUUAA
rnacentral:misc_RNA from 1 species